rnacentral:rRNA from 1 species
UUGGGUAAGUGUGUAAGGGCGUUCGGUGGAUGCCUUGGUACCAGGAGCCGAUGAAGGACGUGGGAGGCUGCGUUAAGCCUCGGGGAGCUGUCAACCGAGCUGUGAUCCGAGGGUGUCCGAAUGGGGUAACCCAGCACCAGUGAUGUGGUGUUACCACCGGGUGAAUGUAUAGCCCGUGUGGGGGGAACGUGGGGAAGUGAAACAUCUCAGUACCCAUAGGAAGAGAAAACAAUUGUGAUUCUGUGAGUAGUGGCGAGCGAAAGCGGAUGAGGCUAAACCAUGCGCAUGUGAGACUCGGCAGGGGUUGUGUGUGUGGGGUUGUGGGGUCAUGCUUCUCGGCGCUGCCGCGUCGGGCGCGAGUGAUAAAGCCGCAUGCUAGGUGAAGUGGCCUGGGAUGGUCUGCCGUAGACGGUGAGAGUCCGGUAGCUGAAAGUGUGUGGUCUUGUGUGUGUGAUGCCCCAAGUAGCAGCGGGCUCGUGGAAUCUGCUGUGAAUCUGCCGGGACCACCCGGUAAGCCUGAAUACUUCCUGGUGACCGAUAGCGGACUAGUACCGUGAGGGAAAGGUGAAAAGUACCCCGGGAGGGGAGUGAAAUAGUACCUGAAACCGGACGCUUACAAUCCGUCAGAGCCUGCGCGCAGAGUUUUCUGUGGUGGGUGAUGGCGUGCCUUUUGAAGAAUGAGCCUGCGAGUCAGUGCUCAGUGGCUGGGUUAACCCGUGUGGGGUAGCCGUAGCGAAAGCGAGUCUGAAUAGGGCGCAAUGUCGGAGACAUUCGUGUUUUCGAUGGUGGUCGCUGGGUCUGGACCCGAAGCGGAGUGAUCUACCCAUGGCCAGGGUGAAGCAGCAGUAAGAUGUUGUGGAGGCCCGAACCCACUUCAGUUGAAAAUGGAGGGGAUGAGUUGUGGGUAGGGGUGAAAGGCCAAUCAAACUCCGUGAUAGCUGGUUCUCCCCGAAAUGCAUUUAGGUGCAGCGUUGCAUGUUUCACUCUGGAGGUAGAGCUACUGGAUGGCCGAUGGGCCCUACUAGGUUACUGACGUCAGCUAAACUCCGAAUGCCAGGGUGUGAGAGUGUGGCAGUGAGACUGCGGGCGAUAAGGUUCGUAGUCGAGAGGGAAACAGCCCAGAUCGCCGGCUAAGGCCCCUAAGCGUGUACUAAGUGGAAAAGGAUGUGGGAUUACUGAGACAACCAGGAGGUUGGCUUAGAAGCAGCCAUCCUUGAAAGAGUGCGUAAUAGCUCACUGGUCAAGUGAUCCUGCGCCGACAAUGUAGCGGGGCUCAAGUACACCGCCGAAGCCGCGGCACUCCACCAUGACAUCCCAAGGGUUCUGCGGAGUCUUUGGUAGUGGGUGGGGUGGGUAGGGGAGCGUCCUGCAUCCUGGGAAGCAUCCCUGUGAGGGAGGUGUGGAGGGUGUGGGAGUGAGAAUGCAGGCAUGAGUAGCGAAAGACACGUGGGAAACGUGUCCGCCGAAUGACCAAGGGUUCCUGGGCCAGGUUAAUCCGCCCAGGGUGAGUCGGGACCUAAGGCGAGGCCGACAGGCGUAGUCGAUGGACAACGGGUUGAUAUUCCCGUACCCGUGUGCCCGCGCCCAAUGCUGAAUCAACUGUACUAAGCGUCCAGGACUGGAUGGUUCACCUUCGGGUGGCCGGAUGGCGAUGCGCGUGGCCUUGGUUGUAGUAGGUAAGCGAUGGGGUGACGCAGGAAGGUAGUGGGGCCAGUGAGUGGUAGUUACUGGUGUAAGCCUGUAGGGAGGAAUGUAGGUAAAUCCGCGUUCUAUUGUUCCUGAGAGGUGAUGCGUAACCGUUGUGGUGAAUUCCAUGAUCCUAUGCUGCCGAGAAAAGCCUCUAGUGAGUUGGUGCACGGCCCGUACCCCAAACCGACACAGGUGGUCAGGUAGAGAAUACUAAGGCGAUCGAGAGAACUGUGGUUAAGGAACUCGGCAAAAUGCCCCCGUAACUUCGGGAGAAGGGGGACCACUGCUGGUGACGACUCUUUGCGGUUUGAGCUGGUGGUGGUCGCAGAGACCAGAGAGAAGCGACUGUUUACUAAAAACACAGGUCCGUGCGAAGUCGUAAGACGAUGUAUACGGACUGACGCCUGCCCGGUGCUGGAAGGUUAAGAGGACCGGUUAGCUGCCCGUGUGGUGGCGAGGCUGAGAAUUUAAGCCCCAGUAAACGGCGGUGGUAACUAUAACCAUCCUAAGGUAGCGAAAUUCCUUGUCGGGUAAGUUCCGACCUGCACGAAUGGCGUAACGACUUCUCUGCUGUCUCAACCACAGACUCGGCGAAAUUGCAGUACGAGUAAAGAUGCUCGUUACGCGCGGCAGGACGAAAAGACCCCGGGACCUUCACUAUAGCUUGGUAUUGGUGUUCGGUUCGGUUUGUGUAGGAUAGGUGGGAGACUGUGAAGCGUUCACGCUAGUGGGUGUGGAGUCGUUGUUGAAAUACCACUCUGAUCGUAUUGGACUUCUAACCUCGGGCCAUGAUCUGGUUCAGGGACAGUGCCUGGUGGGUAGUUUAACUGGGGCGGUUGCCUCCUAAAAUGUAACGGAGGCGCCCAAAGGUUCCCUCAGCCUGGUUGGCAAUCAGGUGGUGAGUGUAAGUGCACAAGGGAGCUUGACUGUGAGACGUACAUGUCGAGCAGGGACGAAAGUCGGGACUAGUGAUCCGGCACCGGCAUGUGGAAGCGGUGUCGCUCAACGGAUAAAAGGUACCCCGGGGAUAACAGGCUGAUCUUCCCCAAGAGUCCAUAUCGACGGGAUGGUUUGGCACCUCGAUGUCGGCUCGUCGCAUCCUGGGGCUGGAGUAGGUCCCAAGGGUUGGGCUGUUCGCCCAUUAAAGCGGCACGCGAGCUGGGUUUAGAACGUCGUGAGACAGUUCGGUCUCUAUCCGCCGCGCGCGUAAGAAACUUGAGGAAUCCUGUCCCUAGUACGAGAGGACCGGGACGGACGGACCUCUGGUGUGCCAGUUGUACCGCCAGGUGCAUUGCUGGUUGGCUACGUUCGGAAGGGAUAACCGCUGAAAGCAUCUAAGCGGGAAGCCUGUUCCAAGAUGAGGUUUCUCACCCCCUUUUGCGGGGUUAAGGCCCCCUACAGACUAUGGGGUUGAUAGGCCAGAACUGUACGCAUCGUGAGGUGUUGAGGUGACUGGUACUAAUCGGCCGAGGACUUACCAACACCCC